rnacentral:rRNA from 1 species
GACGAACGCUGGCGGCGUGCUUAACACAUGCAAGUCGAGCGGUAAGGCCCUUUCGGGGGGUACACGAGCGGCGAACGGGUGAGUAACACGUGGGUGACCUGCCCUCAGCUCUGGGAUAAGCCUGGGAAACUGGGUCUAAUACUGGAUAUGACUCCACGGUGCAUGUCGUGGGGUGGAAAGCCUUGUGCGGCUGAGGAUGGGCCCGCGGCCUAUCAGCUUGUUGGUGGGGNGAUGGCCUACCAAGGCGACGACGGGUAGCCGGCCUGAGAGGGCGACCGGCCACACUGGGACUGAGACACGGCCCAGACUCCUACGGGAGGCAGCAGUGGGGAAUCUUGCGCAAUGGGCGAAAGCCUGACGCAGCGACGCCGCGUGAGGGAUGACGGCCU